GACGAACGCUGGCGGCGUGCUUAACACAUGCAAGUCGAACGGAAAGGCCUGCUUUCCCUUGUGGAUUGCGGGUACUCGAGUGGCGAACGGGUGAGUAACACGUGAGUGAUCUGCCCCCAACUUGGGUAUAAGCCUGGGAAACUGGGUCUAAUUCCCGAUAGGACUGCAGGGUGGUGUCUGUGGUGGAAAAUGAUUUUCUAGUGGUUGGGGAUGAGCUCGCGGCCUAUCAGCUUGUUGGUGGGGUAAUGGCCUACCAAGGCGGCGACGGGUAGCCGGCCUGGGAGGGUGGACGGCCACAUUGGGACUGAGAUACGGCCCAGACUCCUACGGGAGGCAGCAGUGGGGAAUAUUGCACAAUGGGCGGAAGCCUGAUGCAGCGACGCCGCGUGGGGGAUGACGGCCUUCGGGUUGUAAACUCCUUUCGACCGCGAGGAAGCCACCUGGUUGGAAGGGUGGUGACGGUAGUGGUUGAAGAAGCACCGGCUAACUACGUG
rnacentral:rRNA from 1 species